rnacentral:misc_RNA from 1 species
UCCGAGUUGACCCCGGCAGUCUCCCAUGAGUCCCCACCACUACGUGCUGGCAACAUGGAACGAGGGUUGCGCUCGUUGCGGGACUUAACCCAACAUCUCACGACACGAGCUGACGACAACCAUGCACCACCUGUGAACCGGCCCCAAAAGGAGAAACCACAUCUCUGCGGCGGUCCGGUCCAUGUCAAGCCUUGGUAAGGUGGGGAUGACGUGGACGUCAUAACC